rnacentral:rRNA from 2 species
AUGCCUAAUACAUGCAAGUCGAACGGGAUCUUCGGAUCUAGUGGCGCACGGGUGCGUAACGCGUGGGAAUCUGCCCUUGGGUUCGGAAUAACUUCUGGAAACGGAAGCUAAUACCGGAUGAUGACGUAAGUCCAAAGAUUUAUCGCCCAAGGAUGAGCCCGCGUAGGAUUAGCUAGUUGGUGAGGUAAAGGCUCACCAAGGCGACGAUCCUUAGCUGGUCUGAGAGGAUGAUCAGCCACACUGGGACUGAGACACGGCCCAGACUCC